rnacentral:rRNA from 1 species
GGGGCUAGCGUUGUUCGGAAAUCACUGGGCGUAAAAGCGUACGUAGGCGGCUAUUCAAGUCAGAGGUGAAAAGCCCAGGGCUCAACCUUGGAACUGCCUUUGAGACUGGAUAGCUAGAGCACGGAAGAGGUAAGUGGAAUUCCGAGUGUAGAGGUGAAAUUCGUAGAUAUUCGGAGGAACACCCGUGGCGAAGGCGGCUUACUGGGCCGUUGCUGACGCUGAGGUACGAAAGCGUGGGGAUCAAACAGGAUUAGAUACCCUGGUAGUCCACGCUGUAAACGAUGGGAACUAGUUGUCGGGGCUCUUAGAGUUUCGGUGACGCAGCUAACGCGUUAAGUUCCCCGCCUGGGGAGUACGGUCGCAAGAUUAAAACAUAAAGGAAUUGACGGGAACCCGCACAAGUAGUGGAUCAUGCGGCUUAAUUCGUAAGUAAGCGUGGAACCUCACCUAGGUUUGACAUGCUCUUGCAAGACUUUGGAAACUUAGUCCCUCUCUUCGGAGACUUUUGCACAGAUGAUGCACGGUCGUCGUCAGCUCGUGUCGUGAGAUGUUCGGUUAAGUCCGGUAACGAGCGCAACCCCAGUCCUUAGUUAUUUAAUGUCUAAGGAGACCGCCGAAGUUUAAUUCGGAGGAAGGAUGGGAUGACGUCAGAUCUGCGUGUCUCUUACAUCUAGGGCUGCACGCAUGAUACAAUGGGAAUGGUACAACGGGUUAUGCCAAAGAGCGAUCUGGAGCGAAUCCCCCAAAACCACCCUCAGUACGGAUUGGAGUCUGAAACUCGACUCCAUGAAGCUGGAAUUACUAGUAAUCGCUGAUCAGCCACGCAGCGGUGAAUACGUUCUCGGGUUUUGUACACACUGCCCGUCACGCCCUGGGAAUUGAAUGCGCCCCAAACCAUCAU